rnacentral:snoRNA from 1 species
UGCGAACACGAGUCGCUGGUGUAAAGAAACUCAACUUUAGCUAGUGCUUUUUUACUUGUUCGCAGAGAAAUGCGCUUUGCCCAAGCAUAACCCAAAUUUGUUUCACCUGAAUUUGCGGUGCAUAUUUUAUUCGUGAAGCUAACAAUU